rnacentral:rRNA from 1 species
CCUACGGGGCGCUGCAGUGGGGAAUAUUGGACAAUGGGCGAAAGCCUGAUCCAGCCAUGCCGCGUGUGUGAAGAAGGCCUUCGGGUUGUAAAGCACUUUCAGUGGGGAAGAAAGCCUUAGGGCUAAUACCCUCGAGGAAGGACAUCACCCACAGAAGAAGCACCGGCUAACUCCGUGCCAGCAGCCGCGGUAAUACGGAGGGUGCGAGCGUUAAUCGGAAUUACUGGGCGUAAAGCGCGCGUAGGCGGUCUGAUAAGCCGGUUGUGAAAGCCCCGGGCUCAACCUGGGAACGGCAUCCGGAACUGUCAGGCUAGAGUGCAGGAGAGGAAGGUAGAAUUCCCGGUGUAGCGGUGAAAUGCGUAGAGAUCGGGAGGAAUACCAGUGGCGAAGGCGGCCUUCUGGACUGACACUGACGCUGAGGUGCGAAAGCGUGGGUAGCAAACAGGAUUAGAUACCCUAGUAGUC